rnacentral:lncRNA from 1 species
UUUGUUUACCCCAUUUGAGCCGUAGUGUUAUUUUAUUUCAUACCCCUCUUUUGGAAUCAAGAUAGAGUCAGCAAAGCUUAAAAGAAAAAUGUCGAGCAAAACAAUAGAGUUAGAAAGUUUCCAAAAAAGAAAAGAGAGGAAAAUAUGUCCAAAAUGGAAUAAAAGAGUGUCGAGAAAAUUAGAAUCACAAAAAUCACAAAAAAAAAGUCAAAAGAAAAAAAAGAAGAAAUCAUAAUCAAGAAAAAUAAGCGGCCAGAACUACGCAUGACCUGAUUCUCCUCUUUCAGGGGUGAGAUACAUAGGCUGCCCUACUCUGGGCUCGGUCC